rnacentral:rRNA from 1 species
UACGGGAGGCAGCAGUGAGGAAUAUUGGUCAAUGGCCGAGAGGCUGAACCAGCCAAGUCGCGUGAAGGAAGAAGGAUCUAUGGUUUGUAAACUUCUUUUAUAGGGGAAUAAAGUGGAGGACGUGUCCUUUUUUGUAUGUACCCUAUGAAUAAGGAUCGGCUAACUCCGUGCCAGCAGCCGCGGUAAUACGGAGGAUCCGAGCGUUAUCCGGAUUUAUUGGGUUUAAAGGGAGCGUAGAUGGGUUGUUAAGUCAGUUGUGAAAGUUUGCGGCUCAACCGUAAAAUUGCAAUUGAUACUGGCAGUCUUGAGUACAGUUGAGGUAGGCGGAAUUCGUGGUGUAGCGGUGAAAUGCUUAGAUAUCACGAAGAACUCCGAUUGCGAAGGCAGCUUACUAACCUGUAACUGACAUUGAUGCUCGAAAGUGUGGGUAUCAGACAGGAUUAGAUACCCUGGUAGUCCACACGGUAAACGAUGAAUACUCGCUGUAGGCGAUAUACGGUCUGCGGCCAAGCGAAAGCAUUAAGUAUUCCACCUGGGGAGUACGCCGGCAACGGUGAAACUCAA